AUGCAUUUGUCCCAUAUGCUCAACUUCAUCUCCAUCACCAGAAUGCAAUUGUUCUACAACAGAGGUCACUUCUACAGUUUACCAACCUUGUUCAACUACAUCUCUAACAACAGAAUAUAGUGAUUCUAGAACAAAGGCUUCCGCUACAGCUUGUCCUCCAUGUCCAAUAGUUUCUCCAUUGCAAGCAAAUAACUUAACAAGUGUCACA